rnacentral:misc_RNA from 1 species
AACCAUUCUCACCUGCGGCUAGACCUGCGGAAGGAUCAUUACCGAGUUAGGGUGUCUGUUCGCAGCGCCCGACUUCCCAACCCUUUGUCUAUGAUACCUAAACAGUUGCUUCGGCGUGCCGAGGGGUCGUACCCUCGCCGGGCCUCACGGCCGGGAGCGCGCACGUCGACGGCCUUUAUCUAACACUUGAACCCAAAACCUGUCGUCUGAAAACUUGUGAUUAACCAAUAAUCAAAAACA